rnacentral:rRNA from 1 species
UAAGGAAUAUUGGUCAAUGGACGCAAGUCUGAACCAGCCAUGCCGCGUGAAGGAUGAAGGUCCUCUGGAUUGUAAACUUCUUUUAUCUGGGACGAAAACGGGAUUUUUAUCUCAAUUGACGGUACCAGAGGAAUAAGCACCGGCUAACUCCGAGCCAGCAGCCGCGGUAAUACGGAGGGUGCGAGCGUUAUCCGGAUUUACUGGGUUUAAAGGGUGCGUAGGUGGGCUUAUAAGUCAGUGGUGAAAUCUCCGAGCUUAACUUGGAAACUGCCGGUGAUACUAUAGGUCUUGAAUUAUCUGGAGGUAAGCGGAAUAUGUCAUGUAGCGGUGAAAUGCUUAGAUAUGACAUAGAACACCAAUUGCGAAGGCAGCUUACUACAUAUAAAUUGACGCUGAGGCACGAAAGCGUGGGGAUCAAACG